GUGCUGAAGCAACAAAUGCCCUGCUUCCAGGAAAAGCCUCUAAGCAUCAGGUAACAUCAAAUCGUACCCCAAACCGACACAGGUGGUCAGGUAGAGAAUACCAAGGCGCUUGAGAGAACUCGGGUGAAGGAACUAGGCAAAAUGGUGCCGUAACUUCGGGAGAAGGCACGCUGACACGUAGGUGAAGUGAUUUACUCAUGGAGCUGAAGUCAGUCGAAGAUACCAGCUGGCUGCAACUGUUUAUUAAAAACACAGCACUGUGCAAACACGAAAGUGGACGUAUACGGUGUGACGCCUGCCCGGUGCCGGAAGGUUAAUUGAUGGGGUCAGCGCAAGCGAAGCUCCUGAUCGAAGCCCCGGUAAACGGCGGCCGUAACUAUAACGGUCCUAAGGUAGCGAAAUUCCUUGUCGGGUAAGUUCCGACCUGCACGAAUGGCGUAAUGAUGGCCAGGCUGUCUCCACCCGAGACUCAGUGAAAUUGAACUCGCUGUGAAGAUGCAGUGUACCCGCGGCAAGACGGAAAGACCCCGUGAACCUUUACUAUAGCUUGACACUGAACAUUGAGCCUUGAUGUGUAGGAUAGGUGGGAGGCUUUGAAGUGUGGACGCCAGUCUGCAUGGAGCCGACCUUGAAAUACCACCCUUUAAUGUUUGAUGUUCUAACGUGGACCCGUGAUCCGGGUUGCGGACAGUGUCUGGUGGGUAGUUUGACUGGGGCGGUCUCCUCCUAAAGAGUAACGGAGGAGCACGAAGGUUGGCUAAUCCUGGUCGGACAUCAGGAGGUUAGUGCAAUGGCAUAAGCCAGCUUGACUGCGAGCGUGACGGCGCGAGCAGGUGCGAAAGCAGGUCAUAGUGAUCCGGUGGUUCUGAAUGGAAGGGCCAUCGCUCAACGGAUAAAAGGUACUCCGGGGAUAACAGGCUGAUACCGCCCAAGAGUUCAUAUCGACGGCGGUGUUUGGCACCUCGAUGUCGGCUCAUCACAUCCUGGGGCUGAAGUAGGUCCCAAGGGUAUGGCUGUUCGCCAUUUAAAGUGGUACGCGAGCUGGGUUUAGAACGUCGUGAGACAGUUCGGUCCCUAUCUGCCGUGGGCGCUGGAGAACUGAGGGGGGCUGCUCCUAGUACGAGAGGACCGGAGUGGACGCAUCACUGGUGUUCGGGUUGUCAUGCCAAUGGCACUGCCCGGUAGCUAAAUGCGGAAGAGAUAAGUGCUGAAAGCAUCUAAGCACGAAACUUGCCCCGAGAUGAGUUCUCCCUGAGACUUUAGGUCUCCUGAAGGAACGUUGAAGACGACGACGUUGAUAGGCCGGGUGUGUAAGCGCAGCGAUGCGUUGAGCUAACCGGUACUAAUGAACCGUGAGGC
rnacentral:rRNA from 1 species